rnacentral:sRNA from 1 species
AUUUCCUCUAGUAAGAAUUAAAUUUAUAUUUAGCGUGUUCUUUUAGUGAACGCAGCCACAACAAUAGCAAAGAAGAAAAACAGUUCUACGGUGAGAAGAAAAUAUAGUGAUAAGAGAGAACUAUCACAAAAGAUGAACUACGAUGAAGAUUGAAGUGUCGCUGGUUAAUUUCAGCGAUUCAUCGAAUGCAGUUGCAACUCAAUCGGCGACUCAUCCAAAGUUGUUAUUUUAAGUUCUAAUGUCGUUUUACUUACCUGCUACUUCUCAUGACAAUUCGUCUUACUCCGUUGUUGCCGUUGUCGCAACGUUCAGUAAAAGCACACGCUAAUUAAUUUUUAAAAAAAUGAAAAAAUAGCUAUAUUCACACCUAUAAUCCAAUCCCCUUAAUAGAAACGUAACUACUUUUCCUUUUUUUCUU